AGACAGGCGUAGAAAAGAAGAAGUAAGAAUGAGAACAGUCAUACAGAGAGUGACCGGUCGCUGAGAGGUGCAUGAGCUGCUGAUUCCGAAUACAUCUUGGAGCCUUGCACCGAAUAUUCUUUAUAAAAAAUUAGUAGGCUGCAACGGAUUCGCACACGUUAUCGUGCCAGAGUAUCGCUUUUUUGCCGUACUUAUUGAGACAGACAGUGUGAACUGGCUGUAAACUUAGGUGGUAACACGGGUAUGUGCCUCGUCCUUUGA
rnacentral:ncRNA from 1 species